AGAAAACCCUGUUACAAGAAAAUACAAAACUGAGACUAGCAAAAUAGAAAUGACUCUGUCCCCAUUACUACGUUUACAGAAAAGUUGGUGACUCCAACUAGUUGAGACAAUUUAACUAGAACAGUUUGGCUAAAAUUGAAACCAGAUUCAAAGCACAGAAUUAAAAUAGAAAUUGUUAUUUUCCCCUCUCAAUUUCCCCUGGCUAUAAUUAACGCUGCCAGGGCUUCCCUGUUGGAGGGUAACAUUAUCACUAAACUGCUGCAAAAUGCUCCAGGGUUAGGUGCACCAGCCUGCUUCCUGCUCCUGGGCUAAGCUUCUCCCAACUCACACAGGGCACAUGGCCCUUUGCAAAGCAGCUCCCCUGACUGCUCCCCGUCAUGGAGUCUGACCUCAGCAACAGGGAACCUAUUGGAGCAGACCCAAAACUACCACACCCAACUCCAGUAGCUUCUGGAGGUGGAGGGCUAAAUCUGCCCAGCAACAAUGACCCAGACACAAUUCACUCCUACCCUCCCCACAGAAGGUCUCGUAAAGAGAUAUUCACUAUUAGACACAGAUUACAAUUGCCCUUGGAGAGAAAUUAUAGAGCAGGGGCUGUUCAUUCAUUAGAGCUGCUUGGAAUAGUCACAGUGAACUGGUCUGGAGGGUGAGGGAUGUGGUUCCCUGUCUAGAGAGAGGUGAUGGCUGGAGGCCUGAGACCUUGAAGAUAUCCCUUGAGCAGACCAUGCAGGGUGCCAAAGGUGCAGUUAUCUUGCAGCCGUGACACAUGUGAGCUCUAUUUCCAUAUUUAAGAAGCAAUAAUGACACUGCUGAUCAUUUGGGAAAGUUUCUUCCCCCUCUACUGUAUAAGUUGCUUUAGACAGUUCUGGCCAAGUAACUCCCCUGGUAGCUCACCUGAACAUGUCACCAACUCACAGUGAUCCAGUCUCUCUUUCUCCCUCUGCUUUAAUCCAGUCUGUUGUAACUCUGAAUGUUCUCGUUAUCUAGAUAAGGGAUCAACCCUUUUUGAAUUUUGCUUAGCUCUUGGUCUCAAUGGCAUCUUGUGGCAGUGAGUUCCACCGGUUACUGGUGCAUUAAAGAGAACAGAACAUUCACCACCUCUGAGAGGUUAUUAGAAGGGAUUUGAAUAUGUGACCACUUAAUACCAAUGAUGACACUUUCCUCUGCUCCACUCUGCUUGAAUAACAGCAGUGAACUGAAGUGUUACAUGACUUGAGUGGAGGGCGGAGCCACAGAAGACCCCAGUGAGGGCAUUGUGGAGAAGGUGCCAGCUGGGACUGGUCAUCACAACCAAGAAUGUGGCCACUGGGGAGGUUGUGAGACAAGAGGUUACCCAUGUCUGGGCAUGAUGGAUUGCCCUACAGGGAGCAGGCAUUCUGCCAAAUAAACACCAAGCUGGAGCAGCCACACCUGGAGAUCUACAGCCGGCAUAUGAAGGCCUCAGUGAAAGCAGGAACUAUAGGGAACCGAACCACAACCCCAAGUCACAGGUGACCAACAGAACAGGAGCCUCGAGAAGACCAACAAAACAGGAACCACAGCGAGGACAACGGCCAAGACUACAGGAACAAGGGCCGUGUGAUCAGCUUUGUCUGAGGAGCCAGCAUGGAGAGGCUGAGGAGAGAUCUCCUCCUGGAGAUGCUGGAGCAGCUGGAGGAGGAGACACUCCAGAGAUUUGAGGACAAACGGAGUGAAAUCGAGCUGAAGGAAGGAUACGGACGCAUCCCCUUAGCGAGACUAACACAUGUGGAUCCCCCAGCCCUCGCUGACCUGCUGCUCAGCUCCUACGGGGAGGACUAUGGCAUGGAGGUGGCUGCAGGGGCUCUGAGAGCCGUCAGCCAGGGAGACCUGGCAGAGAGACUCAUUGUCCUGCCGA